rnacentral:rRNA from 1 species
GACAGAGGGUGCAAACGUUGUUCGGAAUUACUGGGCGUAAAGCGCGUGUAGGCUGCUUAGAUAGUCGGAUGUGAAAGCCCUGGGCUCAACCUAGGAAGUGCAUUCGAAACUUCUGAGCUGGAGUGCUGGAGAGGAAGGCGGAAUUCUCGGUGUAGAGGUGAAAUUCGUAGAUAUCGAGAGGAACACCGGUGGCGAAGGCGGCCUUCUGGACCGGUAUUGACGCUGAGGCGCGAAAGCUAGGGGAGCAAACGGG